GUGCCAGCAGCCGCGGUAAUACGUAGGAGGCGAGCGUUAUCCGGAUUUACUGGGCGUAAAGCGCGUGUAGGCGGCUUUCUAAGUUGGCAGUGAAAGGUCCCGGCUCAACUGGGAUUUGCCUGUCAAUACUGGAGAGCUUGAGGGCACCAGAGGAAAGUGGAACUCGCGGUGUAGCGGUGAAAUGUGUAGAUAUCGCGAGGAACACCAGUGGCGAAGGCGGCUUUCUGGGGUGUUCCUGACGCUGAGGCGCGAAAGCGUGGGGAGCGAAGCGGAUUAGAUACCCGCGUAGUCCACGCCCUAAACGGUGGAUACUUGGUAUGGGGGGUAUCGACCCCCUCCGUGCCGAAGCUAACGCUUUAAGUAUCCCGCCUGGGAACUACGGUCGCAAGACUAAAACUCAAAGGAAUUGACGGGGGCCCGCACAAGCAGCGGAGCGUGUGGUUUAAUUCGAUGCAACACGAUGAACCUUACCAAGGCUUGACAUGCUAGUAGUAGGAACCCGAAAGGGGGACGACCGGCCUUCGGGCUGGAGCUAGCACAGGUGCUACAUGGCUGUCGUCAGCUCGUGCCGUGAGGUGUUGGGUUAAGUCCCAUAACGAGCGCAACCCCUGUUCUGUGUUGAUUUCUCACAGGAGACUGCCCAGGAAUUCUGGGAGGAAGGUGGGGAUGACGUCAAGUCAGCAUGGCCUUUAUGCCUUGGGCCACACACACGCUACAAUGGGUGGUACAAAGGGCAGCUAAAGAGUGAUCUGGAGCUAAUCCCAGAAAGCCACCCCCAGUUCAGAUUGCAGGCUGAAACCCGCCUGCAUGAAGGUGGAGUUGCUAGUAACCGCAGGUCAGCAUACUGCGGUGAAUACGUUCCCGGGCCUUGUACACACCGCCCGUCACACCACGAAAGUUGGCUGUACCAGAAGUUGCCGGGCUGACUCGCCUCGGCGAGGGGCAGGCACCUAAGGUACGGUUGAUGAUUGGGGUGAAGUCGUAACAAGGUAACC
rnacentral:rRNA from 1 species